rnacentral:rRNA from 1 species
CGACAGCGACCCCAGGUCAG